GACGAACGCUGGCGGCGUGCUUAACACAUGCAAGUCGAACGGAAAGGCCCUGCUUUUGUGGGGUGCUCGAGUGGCGAACGGGUGAGUAACACGUGAGUAACCUGCCCUUGACUUUGGGAUAACUUCAGGAAACUGGGGCUAAUACCGGAUAGGAGCUCCUGCUGCAUGGUGGGGGUUGGAAAGUUUCGGCGGUUGGGGAUGGACUCGCGGCUUAUCAGCUUGUUGGUGGGGUAGUGGCUUACCAAGGCUUUGACGGGUAGCCGGCCUGAGAGGGUGACCGGCCACAUGGGGACUGAGAUACGGCCCAGACUCCACGGGAGGCAGCAGUGGGGAAUAUUGCACAAUGGGCGGAAGCCUGAUGCAGCAACGCCCCGUGCGGGAUGACGGCCUUCGGGUUGUAAACCGCUUUCGCCUGUGACGAAGCGUGAGUGACGGUAAUGGGUAAAGAAGCACCGGCUAACUACGUG
rnacentral:rRNA from 1 species